AAUUAGAAGAACAUAUUAUAGAGAUGAAAAUGAUGUUUAUGAGUGCUUGUGAGAUUUUCUUUGUCUAAGGGCUGAACAUCACAUCGAUUGCUCUGCGCUCCAGAACACGGUGAUGGUUUUUCGGCGAGAACGGACAAAUAAAUACACAUUUAACUCACACUGACAAGCUGAACCAACAUAUGUUAUUAUUACCGGCUCAGAUCUCAUUAAUAAUUGAUGUCUGGCCAGAACAGUGAGAAAGACCAGAGAGAAAUCACCGCUGCAUCAGCGCGUGCAUUCUCACCACGAGCUCACAAUAAAAGCAUUUUUAUAGUUUUAAGAGCUUUUUAAAAUAAAAUAUUACCGCGAAUGCACACAAUCCACCCAUUAGAACACAACAAGAGCUAAAUUCAGGUAUUUGUGAGCUGUUUGAUUGUGAAAAUUGAAAGACUAUUUGACAGCGCGAGACUGUCUAAGGGCAGAAUAACAUCGAUCUCUCGAGCUCCAGAGGACGCUGAUUCUGGCAAGAACGAACAAAUCAAGAACAAGGUUAUUUCAAAAUACAUAAUAGCUUGGCGAAUAUAAACGAAAACAGCCACGUGAAUAUAAACUGUUGAGAAAUAAAUCUGAAGUGGAUAC
ensembl:lncRNA